rnacentral:tRNA from 1 species
GAUCUUAUAGUCAAAGGAUGAUAUUAGACUGCAAUUCUAAAGUUGUAGUAACUUACUAAGAUUU